AGGCCAUGGUAUAUGGGGUUUCGGGAGUGAUUCCUAUAUUCAUGAAGUCUAUGGUGCUAAAACAAUACUGAUGUUUCAAAAAGUUCUCCCAAGUCACCACAUCCUUACUCAAACCCGUCUUAAAACCCAAAAACUUUCAGAAUAACACUGUUUUCUUUUGCAAAAAAAAUUUGGUAGGGCUAAAGGAAUGGGGAGAUUAGACUGUACUAAAGAU
rnacentral:lncRNA from 1 species